rnacentral:rRNA from 1 species
GAAUCCUACGGGGGGCAGCAGUGAGGAAUAUUGGUCAAUGGACGCAAGUCUGAACCAGCCAUGCCGCGUGCAGGAUGACGGCUCUAUGAGUUGUAAACUGCUUUUGUACGAGGGUAAACCCCGAUACGUGUAUCGGGUUGAAAGUAUCGUACGAGUAAGGAUCGGCUAACUCCGUGCCAGCAGCCGCGGUAAUACGGAGGAUCCGAGCGUUAUCCGGAUUUAUUGGGUUUAAAGGGUGCGUAGGCGGUUUGACAAGUUGGGAGUGAAAACUACGGGCUCAACCCGUCACCUGCUUUCAAAACUUU